CAAUCUAUAAACUUACCCUCUUUCUCAAUUGUUCCAUAACAUUUUCUUUGCACUAUUUAUUUAGAUACAACAGGUUGUUAGUGAAUUUUAUUCAAACACAAAUACAGUUUAUACAUCAAAUUUUGUCAAAGAUAAGUGAAACAUUUACGAUAGUACUUAUGCACGAGACUUUCACUUAAGCAGAACAUUAUGAAUUGUUUCUAUUUACUCUCAUUACACAUAAGAUUUUCUUUCAAAGUGAACAAAUUUUGAUUUUUAUGCCCACAAAGAUACAUAUACUCAACUAAUUGAACCUCACUUUGUGGGCUGAAGAGAAAUGCUUUGAUGCGGCAAAAAUAGAAGCUUCAGGUCCACUAGUUGCAGCAUCUUUGCUACGACAUUUCCUAGUAGUUUUCACAUCACCACAAAAUAACAAUGCGAAGAAUCUUGGUAUUGAUGAAAACCAGCUUUUGUUGUUGCCCUUAUCACCCAUUUUGCUCACUAAUUAUUAUAACGUGUGCUCAAUUUUAUCAAUUUAGAUUACUCUGCUAAUUGAUGCAUUCGGAACUCAUUGGUUAUAAUAUAGACAUAGUUCCUUGUUG
rnacentral:lncRNA from 1 species